rnacentral:rRNA from 1 species
UACGGAGGAUGCGAGCGUUAUCCGGAUUUAUUGGGUUUAAAGGGUGCGCAGGCGGGAAAUUAAGUCAGCGGUGAAAUCUCGGAGCUUAACUUCGAAACUGCCGUUGAAACUGGUUUUCUUGAGUAUAGAUGAAGUAGGCGGAAUUCGUUGUGUAGCGGUGACAUGCUUAGAUAUAACGAGGAACUCCGAUGGCGUAGGCAGCUUACUAGCUAUAACUGACGCUCAUGCACGAAAGCGUGGGUAUCAAACAGG